GACGAACGCUGGCGGCGUGCCUAAUACAUGCAAGUUGAGCGAUGAAGCUUGGUGCUUGCACCAAUUUGAAGAGCAGCGAACGGGUGAGUAACGCGUGGGGAAUCUGCCUUUGAGCGGGGGACAACAUUUGGAAACGAAUGCUAAUACCGCAUAACAACUUUAAACAUAAGUUUUAAGUUUGAAAGAUGCAAUUGCAUCACUCAAAGAUGAUCCCGCGUUGUAUUAGCUAGUUGGUGAGGUAAAGGCUCACCAAGGCGAUGAUACAUAGCCGACCUGAGAGGGUGAUCGGCCACAUUGGGACGGAGACACGGCCCAAACGCCUACGGGAGGCAGCAGUAGGGAAUCUUCGGCAAUGGACGAAAGUCUGACCGAGCAACGCCGCGUGAGUGAAGAAGGUUUUCGGAUCGUAAAACUCGGUUGGUAGAGAAGAACGUUGGUGAGAGUGGAAAGCUCAUCAAGUGACGGUAACUACCCAGAAAGGGACGGCUAACUACGUG
rnacentral:rRNA from 1 species